GGGUCCAAGUACAGUGAGGUUUAUGAUGAAUUAAUCACAACUAGUUACAGAUGUCUCUGUUCCUUCUCCACUCCCACUGUUUCACUUGACUAGUCUUUA
rnacentral:Y_RNA from 1 species